GACGAACGCUGGCGGCGUGCUUAACACAUGCAAGUCGAACGGAAAGGCCCUGCUUUUGUGGGGUGCUCGAGUGGCGAACGGGUGAGUAACACGCGAGUAACCUGCCCUUGACUUUGGGAUAACUUCAGGAAACAGGGGCGAAUACCGCAUAGGAGCUCCUGCUGCAUGGUGGGGGUUGGAAAGUUUCGGCGGUUGGGGAUGGACUCGCGGCUUAUCAGCUUGUUGGUGGGGUAGUGGCAUACCAAGGCUUUGACGGGUAGCCGGCCUGGGAGGGUGGCCGGGCACAUUAGGACUGAGGUACGGACCAGAAUCGUACCGGAGGCAGCAGUGGAGAGUCUUGCAGAAUAGGCGGAAGCGUGAUGCAGAGACGACGCGUGCGGGAUGACGGGCUUCGGGUUGUAAACCAAUUUCGACUGUGACGAAGCGUGAGUGACGGUAAUGGGUAAGAAAGCACCGGCUAACUACGUG
rnacentral:rRNA from 1 species